GUCACUGGUGGCACCGGAGUUAUGGGUGACCCCGGGGUCUUGGGUGGUCCCAGGUGUCCCUGGGGUCACGGGUGUCCCUGGGGUCAUUGGUGUCCCUGAGGUCAUUGGUGUCCCUGGGGUCAUGGGUGUCCCUGGGGUCAUGGGUGGCACUGGGGUUAUGGGUGGUCCCAGGCGUCCCUGGGGUCAUUGGUGUCCCUGAGGUCAUUGGUGUCCCUGGGGUCAUGGGUGUCCCUGGGGUCAUUGGUGUCCCUGGGGUCAUUGGUGUCUCUGAGGUCACUGGUGUCCCUGGGGUCACGGGUGGCACUGGGGUUAUGGGUGGCCCCAGGUGUCCCUGGGGUCACUGGUUUCCCUGGGGUCACGGGUGGCACUGGGGUUAUGGGUGGCACUGGGGUUAUGGGUGGUCCCAGAUGACCCUGGG